rnacentral:rRNA from 1 species
CAGGUCUUGACAUCCUCUGACAAUCCUAGAGAUAGGACGUUCCCCUUCGGGGGACAGAGUGACAGGUGGUGCAUGGUUGUCGUCAGCUCGUGUCGUGAGAUGUUGGGUUAAGUCCCGCAACGAGCGCAACCCUUGUCCUUAGUUGCCAGCAUUCAGUUGGGCACUCUAAGGAGACUGCCGGUGACAAACCGGAGGAAGGUGGGGAUGACGUCAAAUCAUCAUGCCCCUUAUGACCUGGGCUACACACGUGCUACAAUGGAUGGUACAAAGGGCUGCGAGACCGCGAGGUUUAGCCAAUCCCAUAAAACCAUUCUCAGUUCGGAUUGUAGGCUGCAACUCGCCUACAUGAAGCCGGAAUCGCUAGUAAUCGUGGAUCAGCAUGCCACGGUGAAUACGUUCCC